GAUUGGGGAUUUUGUUUUAUCAAAGGAAAACACCAUAAGUAAGUGUUUUACCUCGUUUACAUGUAUUUUAUAAGAUGAUAUUACUUUAUGGUGAUAUUUAAAUGCUGCGCGCGCCUAAACGAGCCUAACGGUCUCUCAGAUUUGAAUCGCUCUGCAGCGCAGACGCGGGUUACUUAGAGAAGGGAGAGACCAGAAAGAGAUAUUUUCUUUCACUCGCGAAGCGGAGCAGACGGGGAAGUUGGUUUUAACAAGGAAAACACCGAAAACAGAGCCCUGCCUCAGCGCAGUGAGAUCAACAUAAAAUUCAGGAAUCACAACCUAUUUUCCAGUAAGACGGACUUCUUUUUACAACAAAAAUAUAUACUUUUACAGUGAGUUAAAUGCUUUUCCUUAAAGGGAUAGUUCAAAUUUAAAUAAUCAUUUACUCACCCUUGAAUUUUGUCUUAUG